rnacentral:rRNA from 1 species
AUGCUUAAAUUCCUGGAUGUAAACGCACACUUGUCUCCUACACAGGCCAAAAUACUAUUGGAGAUAAGGAUACCCGCGCUGCUGCUGUUGCGUUUGGUUAGGGAGGGGCUUCUUCGUCUGCUUUGCCGUGCGGUGGCUGUGCGGCUGCUUGUUCCUUCUUUGCUAGGUGGUAUUACCAAUAACCUAAAAAAAGGGCAGCCCGGUGCAUGUAGCUCCCGCUUGCGCAGGCUCCGGGGAAGGGUCCGACCACUUUGGGUCUAUUGGAUCGGCUUUGGUGGUGGCAGACGCUGGCAAGUCAUGGGGUUAGAGCAUAGGAAGCUGACAUGGCAUUUGAAACUUACGUGGUCAUUGAAGGGCUUGGCAACAGUGCUUACAGAGUCUGGGAAAGAAAAUAUGGAGGAAUAA